CUUUUAUUUAUUUGAUUUAAAUGUUCAUUCAAAUUUUCUUAUAUUUAUUUAGUUAAUUUUUAUAAUUAUUUGAGAGGCAGUUAAAUACCUCAAAAAAAUGUAAUAGAUAGGAUAGUUAGAUUUGUUUUAUUAUAUUUUCUCAUUUUAGAUUGUAAUUGGGUCCCCUAUUGUAAUAUAUAGGGUAGGUAGGAUUUUUAUUUUUCACAUUUUAGAUUGUCGUUAGAUUCCCCACUGUAAUAGAUAGGUUUUUACGUAUUUAUGUGUCUUAUGUAUUAUGUGCUUUAUCCGCUUUUCUU
rnacentral:lncRNA from 1 species